rnacentral:rRNA from 1 species
AUGUCCGCGAACAGUCUGUUUGGGAUUUGGGGAAUGUUGCUGGUGACUCUUCAAAGUGCCGUGACCUUGUGCUUGGAAGUGGUGGUCUGUUCCCUUUGUUGCAGCAGCUCAAUGAGCAUGCCAAGCUCUCAAUGCUCAGGAAUGCCACAUGGACACUCUCCAACUUCUGCCGUGGGAAACCACAGCCAAACUUUGAACAGGUCAAACCGACUCUCUCAGCACUGCAACGCCUUAUCCACUCUCAGGAUGAGGAGGUGCUCACUGAUGCCUGCUGGGCUCUCUCGUACAUGUCUGAUGGUACUAAUGACAAGAUUCAAUCUGUGA